CACUGCAAAGUUGUAACAACAGCCCCGCUGGACGUCACUGGUGAGCCUCAUGUCUUUUAUUGUGAAGGACUUGUGGCUCACAUGACAACCUACCUUCUGCCCUACGCAGCCCUGUGGAGCGGGAUAAUGCUUGGGAACCUUGGACGACAUGGAAAAGGAAAGGCGUACAAAGAGAACACGCGCAAACAUGAUGCCCUGAGAAAGCUCACAAGACAAAACAUUACACAGGACAACAACACUCAGGGAAUAAUGGAGAAGAGCCAGUGAGACCUGAAACAGAUACGUUUCAGUCAGUUCCCACAGGCUCACAAGACUGGACCAUUUUGUGGUCCAGUACCAGAAGUCCCACAAUGCCCUCCUAUUGGAGUUUGAGGACUCCAAAAGAGUGCAAAAACAGAAGAAAUACAAAGUUGGAGUUGAGAAAUGGAAGGAAGACCAGUAGAGGAAACAGGGACGAUAUGUUAGAGCUAUAAGAAACUACCACAGUCACACUUGAUCUUGAAGUUUUGCCAGUUGAUAAAACACAUCCAAGUCUGUCUUCGCUCUCCAGUCCUUUGCCUUGUUCCUCUUCAUCUUCACUGUCGAGCUCUUCACGAGCAUCAUCACCUUGUUCUUCGAGCAGGAUAAGACAAUCAGCCAGUACAUGGCAAGACAAAUGAAAUCCUGUGGGAUAAAAUGCCAGAUGCAGUGCAGUCAGCCAUUGCCAACAGCAAGAGACCUGCUCCUGACAAGCGACGCCAGAUGAUUAGAAUCCUUGUGGAUGAAAUAAGAAAGCAUGAGGCUAACCCCACACGCAAUGAAUGUCUCAUCAUCUGCCGAAACAUCG